rnacentral:rRNA from 1 species
GGGGGAUGCCUUGGCUCUCAGAGACGAAGAAGGACGUGUUAAGCUGCGAUAAGCUACGGUGAGCUGCACAAAAGCGUUGAUCCGUAGAUUUCCGAAUGGGACAACCCGGCUAGUUGAAGACUAGUCACCGAAAGGAGUGAACGCGGGGAACUGAAACAUCUAAGUACCCGUAGGAACAGAAAUCAAUUGAGAUUCCCUGAGUAGCGGCGAGCGAAACGGGAACAGUCCGCUGAUCGCGAAAGCCAGAAGAAUCCGAUGGAAUGCGGAACCAUAGAGGGUGAGAGUCCCGU